AAUCUUCCACAAUGGACGGAAGUGUGAUGGAGCAACGCCGCGUGAGAGAAGAAGGUUNNNGGAUCNUNAAGCUCUGUUGUAAGNGACNAACACGUACGGGCGUCACCGCCCGUACCUUGACGGUACCUUAUCAGAAAGCCACGGCUAACUACGUGCCAGCAGCCCCGGUAAUACGGAGGUGGCAAGCGUUGUCCGGAAUUAUUGGGCGUAAAGCGCGCGCAGGCGGUCCUUUAAGUCUGAUGUGAAAGCCCACGGCUCAACCGUGGAGGGUCAUUGGAAACUGGAGGACUUGAGUACAGAAGAGGAAAGCGGAAUUCCACGUGUAGCGGUGAAAUGCGUAGAGAUGUGGAGGAACACCAGUGGCGAAGGCGGCUUUCUGGUCUGUAACUGACGCUGAGGCGCGAAAGCGUGGGGAGCAAAC
rnacentral:rRNA from 1 species